GAUGAACGCUGGCGGCGUGCCUAAUACAUGCAAGUCGAGCGAACAGACGAGGAGCUUGCUCCUCUGACGUUAGCGGCGGACGGGUGAGUAACACGUGGAUAACCUACCUAUAAGACUGGGAUAACUUCGGGAAACCGGAGCUAAUACCGGAUAAUAUAUUGAACCGCAUGGUUCAAUAGUGAAAGACGGUUUUGCUGUCACUUAUAGAUGGAUCCGCGCCGCAUUAGCUAGUUGGUAAGGUAACGGCUUACCAAGGCAACGAUGCGUAGCCGACCUGAGAGGGUGAUCGGCCACACUGGAGCUGAGACACGGUCCAGACUCCUACGGGAGGCAGCAGUAGGGAAUCUUCCGCAAUGGUCGAAAGCAUGACGGAGCAACGCCGCGUGAGUGAUGAAGGUCUUCGGAUCGUAAAACUCUGUUAUUAGGGAAGAACAAAUGUGUAAGUAAAUAUGCACAUCUUGACGGUACCUAAUCAGAAAGCCACGGCUAACUACGUG
rnacentral:rRNA from 1 species